rnacentral:rRNA from 1 species
AUUGAACGCUGGCGGCAGGCCUAACACAUGCAAGUCGAACGGUAACAGGAAACAGCUUGCUGUUUCGCUGACGAGUGGCGGACGGGUGAGUAAUGUCUGGGAAACUGCCUGAUGGAGGGGGAUAACUACUGGAAACGGUAGCUAAUACCGCAUAACGUCGCAAGACCAAAGAGGGGGACCCUCGGGCCUCUUGCCAUCGGAUGUGCCCAGAUGGGAUUAGCUUGUUGGUGGGGUAACGGCUCACCAAGGCGACGAUCCCUAGCUGGUCUGAGAGGAUGACCAGCCACACUGGAACUGAGACAAGGUCCAGACUCCUACGGGAGGCAGCAGUGGGGAAUAUUGCACAAUGGGCGCAAGCCUGAUGCAGCCAUGCCGCGUGUAUGAAGAAGGCCUUCGGGUUGUAAAGUACUUUCAGCGGGGAGGAAGGGAGUAAAGUUAAUACCUUUGCUCAUUGACGUUACCCGCAGAAGAAGCACCGGCUAACUCCGUG